rnacentral:piRNA from 2 species
UACUGACAAUAAAGCCGAGGUAUUCUA